AUUCAGCUGACGAGUUCCAAAUAAGAUGAAACGCGCGUCCUGGAU
rnacentral:hammerhead_ribozyme from 1 species